rnacentral:rRNA from 1 species
CAUGUGGUCUUGGAUGUCUGCCGUGUCACAGCGGCUCGUCUUAAAUNCCUGAGUGUACCCUGCUUUGCGGCGUAUUCGGUGUGAUAAACAUUUCACCGGAGUCUGGUCUCUGACCGCGCUUUAGCAAUUGGUGGGCUCUAUGCUUUCCAACCGUCUGUAAUGGACAAUCUUUGACAAUUUGACCUCAAAUCGGGCGGGACUACCCGCUGAACUUAAGCAUAUCAAUAAGCGGAGGAAAAGAAACUAACAAGGAUUCCCCUAGUAACGGCGAGUGAAGAGGGAAAAGCUCAAAUUUUGAAUCUGGUGUCUUUGACCCCCGAGUUGUAAUCUAGAGAAGUGUUUUCCGUGUCGGACCGUGUACAAGUUCCCUGGAACGGGGCGUCAUAGAGGGUGAGAAUCCCGUAUAUGCCACGGACUACCGAUGCUCUGUGAUACACUCUCAACGAGUCGAGUUGUUUGGGAAUGCAGCUCAAAAUGGGUGGUAAAUUCCAUCUAAAGCUAAAUAUUGGCGAGAGACCGAUAGCGAACAAGUACCGUGAGGGAAAGAUGAAAAGCACUUUGGAAAGAGAGUGAAACAGUACGUGAAAUUGUUGAAAGGGAAGCGUUUGAAGUCAGUCGCAUCUGUUGGGAUUCAGCCUGGCUUCUGCCUGGUGUAUUUCCUUUCCGAUGGGUCAGCAUCAGUUUUGACCAAGGGAAAAAGACAUUUGGAAUGUGGCUGUCUUCGGGCAGUGUUAUAGCCUUGUGUUGUAUGUCUUGGUUGGGACUGAGGAACGCAGCGCGCCAUUUUGGCCGGGGGUCGCUCCUCUCGACACGC